GGAGAUGGGGGCACCGGGAUUGACCCUGACGGCACUGGGAUUGACCCCGGAAAUGACCCCAACAUCACUGGGAUCGGCACUGGAAUCACUGGGAUUGACCCCAGCAUCACCAGGAUUGGCACUGGUAUCACUGGGAUCAGCUCCGGCAUCACCAGGUCCAUCCCUGACCCCAGGAUCAGCUCCAGCAUCCCUGGGAUCGGCUCCAGCAUCACCAGGUCCAUCCCUAACACCGGGAUCAGCUCCAGCAUCCCUGCAUCCAGUGCUGGGAUUGCCUCUGGUGUCACCAGCUCCAUCACCGGCACUGGGAUCAGCUCCGGCAUCACCAGAUCCAGUGGUGGUGCUGGGAUUGCCUCAAGCAUCCCCAGCACCAGGAUCAGCUCCAGCACCGGGAUGGGCUCCGGCUCCAUCCCUGGCUCCAUCCCCAGCACUGGCUCCAUCUCCGGCUCCAUCCCCAUCCCGGUCCCGGCUCCGGUGCCGCCGCGGAGCCGCCGCUCAGUGGCCGUGGGCACGGAUGAGGCUCUGGAGCCGCUGGGGUCGGUGCUGGAGCUGGAGCAGCGUCUGCAGCAGGCACUGCAGGAGCUGAGGGAGGCACGAGCCCGGCUGGGACAGAGUGAGGGGACAUGGAUGUGGGAUGGGGACAUGGGAUGGGGGAUAUGGGAUAUGGGAUAUGGGACAUGGACAUGGAAUAUGGGAUAAGAGAUAUGAACACGGGAUACAGGAUAUGGAAUAUGGGAUAGGGGAUAUGGAAUACAGGAUGUGGGAUGUGGACACAGGAUGGGGAUAUGGGAUAGGGGAUAUGGACAUGGAAUAUGGGAUAUGGGACAUGGGAUAGGAGAUAUGGACACGGGAUACAGGGUAUAGAAUAUGGGAUAGGGGAUACAGAAUAUGGGACAUGGGAUAGGGGAUAUGAGAUAUGGGGCAUGGACAUGGAAUACAGGAUAUGGGAUAGGGGAUAUGGACACGGGAUACAGGCUACGGAUAUGGGGUAUAAAACAUGGGAUACAGGACAUGGGUAUGGGAUACAGGAUAUGGGAUAUGAACAUGGGAUAGGGGACAUGGGAUCUGGGGGCCU
rnacentral:lncRNA from 14 species